GUGUAUUAUCUGGAGCGUUCUCCUCCUCUCUCCGCCCUUUGUUUCUCAAUCGAGCUCCCAUGGUUGUCUGCCUCCUAUUUUCUUUCGCCCAUCGCUCCGCCCAUUUUCUUCCAGAACCACCGCAAUCAGCACAAGCUUCCCAUGCCAUAUUGCUGCUCUGCCGCACGAACGCCUGCCCACCCUCGAGCCCGCCUGCCGCGGCUGCUCUGCCGCUGGACGAUGGCCUGCCCGCCGCUGCCUGCCUAGACUGCUGCAGUGCUGCCCAUUCUCCUGGCAGCAGCCGGCCGGAACAUCGAACUCUGCGCGCCCGCUGCGGCGACGCCGCCGACACGGCCCUAUAGUUCAACAAGGCCGACAUGGGCUAGGAGUCGCGGCGGCGUUGUCCUCGAUAGACAUGUGGGCGCGCGCUCUGCCCGCCUCUCUGAGCCCCCUCGCCGAACCGAGGGAGGCCGCUGGUGGUGGCGGCGUUGGCGGGCUGGCCUCGAUGCUUUUGGCAGCCAUUGCUGUUCAGCUCGACGGAACAACGAACUCUACGCGCCCGCCGCUGCGUCCUCCUCGAUUUGACAUGGGCGUGCGAGCUCUGUCCGCAUCCACGUCCGCCUAAGCCCCGGGCCACGGCGCCGGGGAAGCCGUCGGCGUGGGCGGUCUAGCCUCGAUGCUCCCGGCAGCAAUCGCUGUUCAGUCGGCCAAAGGAGCGGCCUCUUCAUGGUCUCUCCGCACCAGCUAUUCACGGCGCACGCCACUGAGUCGGCCCUGUUGUUCGACGAGGCCGGCAUCUUACGGGGAAAGGAGGCAUGGUGGCGUCCUCCUACUUCUACCGAAUCAGUGACGCUCCUGCUCUUCUCUUAUCUGGGUGUUGCUUAGUGCUAAUUCAACUACUCUUUUGGUACUUACAACUCACAUCCCAGCAUUUUUUUCCCUUUCCUUUCAGCAUACCCUGGAAUCUUGCUCACGUUCACCAUUCGUUGGUAAUUUUCAGUUGUAGAUUUUUCAUUUACAUCUCAGUCUGCCUAGCGCACGAACAAAAGCAUUGUUAUUAGUUUAUUUUCUUACUAAACACAGCCUGAGAUCUGCUCAAACAGAUUGGUCAUUAGAAUUUAAAGGCAAAAGCUGUUCCAAAUCUAAUUUUUCAUAUGCCAGAAAGCUAUGGGUAUUUACUGCUCCCUAUCGAUCCAUUAUACUGUUUACAUCAUACAAAGAUUGCCAUGAUCACAUGCCUUCACUGGAACAUAACAGUGAUGUCGUACUGCAAAUAUGAACUAACUUUUUCAUUAUUUAUUGUAUUCUAUAUAACUAAACGUACUAAGGUUGAUUUACCACUACAAUAUCCUACAGAUGAGCUCUUGAUUAUUCUGCCAAAUCUCUCCGAAGUCAGGAGUAUAUGUAUAGAUGAUUGAAUGUGUCCUAUGAAACCAUGUACCUAAAUCUGGUACAUCUCUUUGCAUCUAACAAAAAACUCGGGAGUUCCUAUUGGCUUGAGUGAAUACAUGCAUCCUAAACUUAAGACUUGCUUGACUGAGUUAACACGUGCAUAUACAUAUCUGAAUCCUGACUGGCAUGACUAACUACACAUGCAGUACCUCCAGAUUUAGACUUGAGGUUGAUAUUUUUUCUGAUUCUUCAUCUAUUAGUUCCUUUUGUGAUACAGUCUUCCUUCUUAUUCCUUUAGAUCUAAUUGCUGCAACUUCGCUGGCAGCCUGGCACAUAACCAUUAGAUGGAAAGAUGCAUGAGUUUUAGUUUUCAUUUUUCAGGAUCCUACAGUGAUGGCAAACUUUGAAAUGCACAUAACUUUCUGUCAAAGACAAUGAACAAAUUUGAGGAUACCCUGAUCGAAAGGCUUUGUCGUCAUCAUUGAAUAAAUGGCUAAUUACAGAGUACUUUCUCAGCAAAGGGAUGAUCUGUUAUGCUAAUGAGUAUUUAAGUUCACUAGAUUAAGAUGAUGUAACUUUAUACGAGAGAUCGUUUUUAUUUUUCUUCCUAUCACAGGUAAGAGAUUGUCGUUCCAUUUUUCUAUUGAAUGAGAAGUUCUAUAGUUGUUUGCUCUCAUAUGUAGCGAGGUUACUCUUAUGUGAAAUCACGUUAUCAGUUAAAGUCCGUAUGUUAUUCUUAUUUUUCCUUGAUAUUUUGUUCAAAUGAUAUUAGUAAUAAAUCCAAAUUGCAUACUACAGAUCCUUCGGCACCACGGUAGUAAUCAUUGUUAUUGUAUGUGUUGUAUAUAUGUAAUAAACCACUGAGUAGCAGUGGUAAGACUGUAUUGUUGUGUUGAUCUACCAUUUGAUCACACAGUGCGCCCCUAUUGCAAAUUGUAUUAUAUAUAUGAUCACCAUGCAUUGUCAUCUUACAUUUUCGUUUUAUGUAUGUAAUAAACCACUGAGAAGCAGUAAGACAAUAUUGUUGUGUUGAUCUA